rnacentral:rRNA from 1 species
UACAGAGGUGGCAAGCGUUGUUCGGAAUUACUGGGCGUAAAGGGCGCGUAGGCGGUUCGUCAAGUCCUGUGUGAAAUCCCCCGGCUCAACUGGGGAGCUGCACAGGAAACUAGCGGGCUUGAGUUCGGGAGAGGGAAGCGGAAUUCCGGGUGUAGCGGUGAAAUGCGUAGAUAUCCGGAGGAACACCGGUGGCGAAGGCGGCUUCCUGGACCGACACUGACGCUGAGGCGCGAAAGCUAGGGUAGCGAACGGG